GUUGCUUGUACCUGUACGUGCGUGUGAGAAUUCAGUCGUUCGCGAUAAAAAUGGUCCACCUGGCAUUCUGAAGCGUAUGAAGAACGCAAGCUUCCAACAGGUGGGAGGUUCAACCCCGCCUCAAGAAAGUUCCUUUGCCACCAACUGGAGAAAAAACUGCUGUCUGUUAACCUUUAAAUGUUAAAUUUAAUCCUUUAAUUUCAAUACCACAGUUCUGUUUUAUCAGUUGCCGUGAAACAAGAUAAAUUCUCUUCUUGUGGUGCUUUGUGCUUUAGAGACUUCCAAGUAUGUAAAGCAACUUUCACUGCCUUAUUUCACUGUCGGAGGCAAAGCCAGAUAUGGACUACAAGAGAACAUGAAAUUAGUCAUAAUUUUUUUCCCUUAUCUUUUGUUCAACUGUGUAAACUGAGAGUCUAGUUUUUUUUUCUUUCCAGGAUCAUUGAAUGUGUUUAUUGUAUUUAUCACACUUCCAAAAUACACAAAAUAUUAGUUUGAGUUUGGAAAGAGGUUUUCAGUUCAUUGUUUUAUUAAAUGCAGAUAAAUACUCUAAAAA